rnacentral:lncRNA from 1 species
AUUGCAAAAAACCAAAAAGGAAAAUAAGAAAAGGAAAGCUACCAAAUUACUUUUAGGGCCCGUUUGGUUCGAGUUAUGUAAUAUUACAAAGUAUCUCGACAUAUCCAGGUAUUUUGGAUUUCGGCGUGAGAUUACUACUGAUGCUGCAUUAGCGCGUUUGGUUUAAUGCAGUAAUGUAAUACUAGAUUACAGUGUUUAUAGCAUUAAUACAUUUGGUUCAGUUUAUUAAAUUUAGUAAUCCUGACAUAAAAGUAUAGUUUUUUUCAAAAUUGCCCUUGUUGUGGUCAUUUGAAUAUUAAUUUUUGCGGAAAUGACAAAUGGAGGGAAGAAGAUCGUGAUGAUUACCUGGGAGGACGGCGCAAUAGAAGAUGAUAGGUGUGCGUGCGAGAGAGAGAAAAAGAGAGAGAGAGAGAGAGAGAAAGACGUCGAGAGAGAGAAAGCGAGAGAAAGCGGCGUGCGAGAGAGAGGGGGGAAGGCGAGAGAGAGAGAUGAAAAUAAUGCUGUUAAUUAGAUUUGGGGUUGUUGGAAGGUAAAAUUGUCAUUUUACAUAAUAUGUAGUAUUAAUGGGUUUCAGUAAUGCAAGAUACACGACCCCCCUCCCGUUAAUAUUUUCGAUGUAAUCCUGCUCGAUUUGUAAUGCUACAUUAACGACUAGAUUAUAUAGUAGAUUAACCAAACACAGUUAUUUUGGCAGGAUUACCUGUAAUCCUGCCAGGAUAACUCGAACCAAAAGCACCCUUAGGGCCCGUUUGGUUCGAGUUAUGUAAUAUUACAAAGUAUCUCGACAUAUCUAGGUAUCUUGGAUUUCGGCGUGAGAUUACUACUAAUGCUACAUUAGAGCGUUUGGUUUAAUACAGUAAUGUAAUACUAGAUUACAGUGUUUAUAGCAUUAAUAUGUUUGGUUCAGUUUAUAAAAUUUAGUAAUCCUGACAUAAAAGUAUAGUUUUUUCCAAAAUUGCCCUUGUUGUGGUGAUUUGAAUAUUAUUUUUUGCGGAAAUGACGAAUGGAGGGAAGGAGAUCGUGAUGAUUACUUGGGAGGACGACGCAAUAGAAGAUGAUAGGUGUUCGUGCGAGAGAGAGAGAGAGAGAGAGAGAGAGAGAGAGAGACGUCCAGAGAGAGAGAGCGAGAGAAAGCGGCGUGCGAGAGAGAGGGCCGGGGGGAAGGCGAGAUAGAGAUGGAAAUAAUGCUGUUAAUUAGAUUUGGGGUUGUUGGAGGGUAAAAUUGUCAUUUUACAUAAUAUGUAGUAUUAACGGGUUUCAGUAAUGCAAGAUACACGACCCCCCUCCCGUUAAUAUUUUCGAUGUAAUCCUGCUCGAUUUGUAAUCCUACAUUAACGACUAGAUUACAUAGCGGAUUAACCAAACAUAGUUAUCCUGGCAGGAUUGCCUGUAAUUCUGCCAGGAUAACUCGAACCAAACGCACCCUUAAAGGUAACCAUCAACACACUUAUUAAUAAUAAAAUCAUAAUGUGAGAUAAUAUAAGAGAAUGCAAGGAUAGAGCUAUAUUGGAAAAUGUCUAGAAUAUACCAGUUAUAUUGUUGAUGUGGUAUUCCCAGUCAAUCAGAAUGUUUCCUUUGCAUUCAUCCGUCCCAUCAUGAUUAUUAGAAAAAUAUUUUUCGUGUACUUUUUUUUUAAAAAGUGAGAUGUGAGUGAUAGAUUAUUGAUGACGUGGUGUAAGUGUGGUAGAGUAGAUUUUCUCACUGGAGCGCAUAAUGG